rnacentral:rRNA from 1 species
UGCUCGAGUGGCGAACGGGUGAGUAACACGUGAGUAACCUGCCCUUGACCUUGGGAUAACUUCAGGAAACUGGGGCUAAUACCGGAUAGGAGCUCCUGCUGCAUGGUGGGGGUUGGAAAGUUUCGGCGGUUGGGGAUUGACUCGCGGCUUAUCAGCUUGUUGGUGGGGUAGUGGCUUACCAAGGCUUUGACGGGUAGCCGGCCUGAGAGGGUGACCGGCCACAUUGGGACUGAGAUACGGCCCAG